AACGAACGCUGGCGGCAUGCCUAACACAUGCAAGUCGAACGAAGGCUUCGGCCUUAGUGGCGCACGGGUGCGUAACGCGUGGGAAUCUGCCCUUAGGUUCGGAAUAACAGCUGGAAACGGCUGCUAAUACCGGAUGAUAUCGCGAGAUCAAAGAUUUAUCGCCUGAGGAUGAGCCCGCGUUGGAUUAGGUAGUUGGUGGGGUAAAGGCCUACCAAGCCGACGAUCCAUAGCUGGUCUGAGAGGAUGAUCAGCCACACUGGGACUGAGACACGGCCCAGACUCCUACGGGAGGCAGCAGUGGGGAAUAUUGGACAAUGGGCGAAAGCCUGAUCCAGCAAUGCCGCGUGAGUGAUGAAGGCCCUAGGGUUGUAAAGCUCUUUUACCCGGGAAGAUAAUGACUGUACCGGGAGAAUAAGCCCCGGCUAACUCCGUGCCAGCAGCCGCGGUAAUACGGAGGGGGCUAGCGUUGUUCGGAAUUACUGGGCGUAAAGCGCACGUAGGCGGCUUUGUAAGUCAGAGGUGAAAGCCUGGAGCUCAACUCCAGAACUGCCUUUGAGACUGCAUCGCUUGAAUCCAGGAGAGGUCAGUGGAAUUCCGAGUGUAGAGGUGAAAUUCGUAGAUAUUCGGAAGACACCAGUGGCGAAGGCGGCUGACUGGACUGGUAUUGACGCUGAGGUGCGAAAGCGUGGGAGCAAACAGGAUUAGAAUACCCUGGUAGUCCACGCCGUAACGAUGAUAACUAGCUGUCCGGCACUUGGUGCUUGGGNC
rnacentral:rRNA from 1 species